AUGAAGAGAGUUGAACUCACUCUUAAUAAGUUCUCUGGUUGCGCACUUUCUUGGUGGAAUCAGUUGCAAAAGGAUUAUCUUGCUUUGGGAGGUGACUAUAUCUGCAGCUUGGAUACAAUGAAAAGAGUCAUGAGGCAUCGAUUCGUUCCAUUAUACUAUGAGAAGAAGUUGUACAAGAGGUUGAAGGGGCUUAUCCAAGGUUCUCGCACUAUCAAGGAGUACUAUAAUGAGAUGGAGAAGUUGUUGAUCCGGACAAAAACCCAAGAGAAUGGUGAAGCAAAGAUGAGAGAUUCUUACAUGGGCUGA
rnacentral:rRNA from 1 species